AAAUUGAAGAGUUUGAUCAUGGCUCAGAUUGAACGCUGGCGGCAGGCCUAACACAUGCAAGUCGAACGGUAACAGAAAGCAGCUUGCUGCUUUGCUGACGAGUGGCGGACGGGUGAGUAAUGUCUGGGAAACUGCCUGAUGGAGGGGGAUAACUACUGGAAACGGUAGCUAAUACCGCAUAACGUCGCAAGACCAAAGAGGGGGACCUUCGGGCCUCUUGCCAUCGGAUGUGCCCAGAUGGGAUUAGCUUGUUGGUGGGGUAACAGCUCACCAAGGCGACGAUCCCUAGCUGGUCUGAGAGGAUGACCAGCCACACUGGAACUGAGACACGGUCCAGACUCCUACGGGAGGCAGCAGUGGGGAAUAUUGCACAAUGGGCGCAAGCCUGAUGCAGCCAUGCCGCGUGUAUGAAGAAGGCCUUCGGGUUGUAAAGUACUUUCAGCGGGGAGGAAGGGAGUAAAGUUAAUACCUUUGCUCAUUGACGUUACCCGCAGAAGAAGCACCGGCUAACUCCGUGCCAGCAGCCGCGGUAAUACGGAGGGUGCAAGCGUUAAUCGGAAUUACUGGGCGUAAAGCGCACGCAGGCGGUUUGUUAAGUCAGAUGUGAAAUCCCCGGGCUCAACCUGGGAACUGCAUCUGAUACUGGCAAGCUUGAGUCUCGUAGAGGGGGGUAGAAUUCCAGGUGUAGCGGUGAAAUGCGUAGAGAUCUGGAGGAAUACCGGUGGCGAAGGCGGCCCCCUGGACGAAGACUGACGCUCAGGUGCGAAAGCGUGGGGAGCAAACAGGAUUAGAUACCCUGGUAGUCCACGCCGUAAACGAUGUCGACUUGGAGGUUGUGCCCUUGAGGCGUGGCUUCCGGAGCUAACGCGUUAAGUCGACCGCCUGGGGAGUACGGCCGCAAGGUUAAAACUCAAAUGAAUUGACGGGGGCCCGCACAAGCGGUGGAGCAUGUGGUUUAAUUCGAUGCAACGCGAAGAACCUUACCUGGUCUUGACAUCCACGGAAGUUUUCAGAGAUGAGAAUGUGCCUUCGGGAACCGUGAGACAGGUGCUGCAUGGCUGUCGUCAGCUCGUGUUGUGAAAUGUUGGGUUAAGUCCCGCAACGAGCGCAACCCUUAUCCUUUGUUGCCAGCGGUCCGGCCGGGAACUCAAAGGAGACUGCCAGUGAUAAACUGGAGGAAGGUGGGGAUGACGUCAAGUCAUCAUGGCCCUUACGACCAGGGCUACACACGUGCUACAAUGGCGCAUACAAAGAGAAGCGACCUCGCGAGAGCAAGCGGACCUCAUAAAGUGCGUCGUAGUCCGGAUUGGAGUCUGCAACUCGACUCCAUGAAGUCGGAAUCGCUAGUAAUCGUGGAUCAGAAUGCCACGGUGAAUACGUUCCCGGGCCUUGUACACACCGCCCGUCACACCAUGGGAGUGGGUUGCAAAAGAAGUAGGUAGCUUAACCUUCGGGAGGGCGCUUACCACUUUGUGAUUCAUGACUGGGGUGAAGUCGUAACAAGGUAACCGUAGGGGAACCUGCGGUUGGAUCACCUCCUUACCUUAAAGAAGC
rnacentral:rRNA from 1 species